UGUUUUUCCCUAUUUUCCCAAUUAUGUUCUUCUCCUAGUUAUUUCAUCUAUUUCCCCAGUUUUGCAUCUUGAUGUCCCCUUCUAAAUAUAGUUGUAGCCAUCGAUUUGUCUUCUCAAGAACAUGGCUGAUGCUAAAUGAACGAAGAGACAAAUAGAAAGAUGUGUGAUCAGAGUAGACGAACAAAUGGGAUCAGUGGUUUACGACGUGAGGUUGUGCUAAACGAACGGAGAGAUGAACGAUCAGAGCAGAUGUACAGACGGGCAGACGAACAGACGGAUCUAAACGUUAUUCGUGGUUUAUGAAUCAUGAACAAAUAGAGAGAUAGAUCUGGAUGGGAUCGAGACGAAGACAAUAGAGUAACAGAUUGGAGGUUUACUACGCUCGGAUGAAUAGAGAGAAAUGCAGAUGAUGUCGUCGCCACGAGCUCCGAGGAAAAGAAGAGCUGCGGCGACUGGUACAGUGGUACAUGGUUGAUGGAAAAAAACAUCUAGCAAGACAAGUUUAUGAAGAGGAAGUUUAUGAGAAGUUCCCAUUCAUUGAAGUCAACUUUUCCAAAUAGGAUGCAUUCUGGUUGUUGGCCGAAUUACUCAAAGGUGAAGUUCAUGCUCCAAUGGAAGGAUUAUAUAUGGCUAAAGGAGAUGAAGAAAUUGAGAUUCGAGUUCAUGUUAGAGUCCAAAAGAGCAAGGUUAUCAUUUAAUAUAGAAAAGUAUUAAGGAAGGGGCGAUGCUUUGUUGAGUUUCCAAUCUUUUCUGCAGAGCGUCAACGUCUUAUUCUAAAAUGGGUUUUCUACAGGGUUGCAUUUUAGAUUGUGCUGAAAUUAUGGAAAUUGUAGUGAAAAAGGGCUUGUGGUACAGUUACGGGGACCUGAGGGAAGAGACAAAGCUCUACAGUACUUAAAAGAUAAAGUCGGGUGACGUCAUCUUUCUUAAAGAAGAAAUUACCAAAAGAGGCUUGAAGACAUUGGUAGACAUAUCUUUUCAGCUUUUCUUUAAUAAUUAUAUUUUGUUUGUUUGUCAAUCUUGCUUUUUUUGUUUGUAUUUUAGUCAUUAUUAAGUAUCUUUUAGAUUACGAGAAGAUAAGGAUAGUAGGGGUCUUAUCCCACCUAAAUCUUAUUGUAAUCUUUUACAUUUUCAAAAAGAAAGAAAAGAUGUUAGACAAGGGUCUUGUCUUGUCGGUGAUGGAAAAGAAUUAAGUACUAGAGACAUGCAGCAGC